ensembl:lncRNA
GUAGGAUUCUUUCCUUCACAAGGCCAGGUGCUCGUGUUCUCUCGCAGAAAUCAGGAGCAGAUAUGGAUACAUCUCCACUGAAACUCGACCAGGUUUCUCUCAGCCGAUGGGACUCCAGUGGACCCCGCGGCUGCUCUGAGCGUCUUCCUCCAGUCAGAGCUUUUUGGCGGUUAGCGGUGGCCGCAGGUGCUCCUGUUACCUGCACGAAAAGCUGCAUGAGCACCCCAGCAAUCCUCAAACACUCUCUCUCUCUCUCUCUCUCUCUCUCUCUCUCUUACACACACACACACACACAACCCAGACAUAUUUUUGUUCUUCAGCAUACAGUGAGCUCUGGCAGAGAUAUGAAAUAUAUAAACCUGUCUGUAUCCUAAAAUGCACUCUCUCUCACACAUAAAAACACAAACAAACAAACAAAAACAAUCCGUUGUGAAUGAGUGUCCAAAAUAAUACAGAUUCAAUUAAUAUAAUUUCAUAUAAUGCUGUAAUAUAAUUUACAGAUAUACUUAAUGGUUUUAAUUGCAUUAAUUUUCUUCUUUUUAGGUACAGAUGUUAUUUUCAGCUUGAAGGGAACUUGCAGAUUAACUUGAUAUUAUUAUACGCAUUCUUACUGUUUACUAGGAUAUGCCAUAAAAUAAUACCACAUUAUUCAAAACAUAUAUAUUUAUAUUUGCCUUAUUUUACCUUUUAAAAAAAUCAAAACAAGAUAAAUGUACUUAUAAGCAGACAUUUCAGCAAAGUUAUCUUUAAGUUGUUGUCAAUUUUCAAUAUAAUUAAAUGUUUU